UACGGAGGGAGCUAGCGUUAUUCGGAAUUACUGGGCGUAAAGCGCACGUAGGCGGCUUUGUAAGUAAGAGGUGAAAGCCCAGAGCUCAACUCUGGAAUUGCCUUUUAGACUGCAUCGCUUGAAUCAUGGAGAGGUCAGUGGAAUUCCGAGUGUAGAGGUGAAAUUCGUAGAUAUUCGGAAGAACACCAGUGGCGAAGGCGGCUGACUGGACAUGUAUUGACGCUGAGGUGCGAAAAGCG
rnacentral:rRNA from 1 species